GUAGGGUAAUGGCCUACCAAGGCAACGAUGCAUAGCCGACCUGAGAGGGUGAUCGGCCACACUGGGACUGAGACACGGCCCAGACUCCUACGGGAGGCAGCAGUAGGGAAUCUUCCGCAAUGGACGAAAGUCUGACGGAGCAACGCCGCGUGUAUGAAGAAGGUUUUCGGAUCGUAAAGUACUGUUGUUAGAGAAGAACAAGGAUAAGAGUAACUGCUUGUCCCUUGACGGUAUCUAACCAGAAAGCCACGGCUAACUACGUGCCAGCAGCCGCGGUAAUACGUAGGUGGCAAGCGUUGUCCGGAUUUAUUGGGCGUAAAGCGCGCGCAGGCGGUCUUUUAAGUCUGAUGUGAAAGCCCCCGGCUUAACCGGGGAGGGUCAUUGGAAACUGGAAGACUGGAGUGCAGAAGAGGAGAGUGGAAUUCCACGUGUAGCGGUGAAAUGCGUAGAUAUGUGGAGGAACACCAGUGGCGA
rnacentral:rRNA from 1 species